AACAAGCUGAGGCGUUAGAACUCGUUCUUUUUCAAGUUUCUGAAUGCUAUGUUUAUAUGGAGAGUUCGAACUUAAAAGGAUCAGAUACCCGCCAGGAAAAGUGCAGGUUCUUACAGAUCUCUGAUCAACUUCAAAUUGCUACUCCUUGUCUAAUAUGCGUAUGAUAUGUUUAGUGAAUCUUGAACAAGUUUCUACUUCUUGCUUGCAAGACCCGAAAUUUCCAGUUUACUAGCACUUGUUUUUAAAGUUUUGUCUCAAAGUCAAUUAAGAAAAUGUCUUCUCUGAUAUUGAUAUCCUACUCUCAGAUAAACUCUCUGAUUAUUAACUGCUAUGCUUGUAAUUAGUCAACAUUUACUCUCGUGGAGUUUGUUUUAGAGCUGAUGAAUGGGAUGUCAACAAAUGGGCAUGUGAUGGAGUAUUGAAAGUUAUUAGCAAGGGACAGGAAUGCAUAAUAAAGCUUGAAGAUAAGAAAGCAGGCAAGAUAACAUUAGAGCUUCUCUAAUCAGAUCAUACAUGUUACUCUUUUGUGAAAAAAAAAACUGAAAUAAGUAAAAUAUUUAACUAGGUGAAUUGUUUGCUCGGGCUUUCUUAAGACAUGGAGAGGCACAUCCUGUGGAACCAGUUAUUGACAGCAGCAGGUGGUUUUGUGAGACUAUUGAUGACUUUCUACUCCCCAGUUUGUCACUUUAUUCCCAAUGAUCCCUAAGUAGUCAUACUUUUGUUGUGCAGAUAUUUUGUUCUUCGCAUAAAAGAGAACAUAGGUGAGCAUCUGUAUUUUGCUAUGCCUCUCGUUUUCAGCCCCUUUUGGAUUGUGACAUUUCUGAAAUCUACUUUCCACGAGGCUGGAGUUGUGUAAUGUGAAAAUAAGACAUCAAAUGGAAAGGAAAUUUCCUGAAAGAUGCUUCAAUAUUCUGAAAUCAUUUCUUGUUUAUGAAUGAAUUAACAGUGUUUAACAAUGAGUCUCAAAAGUUCCUUGCGCAGGGUAUAGAACAAUAUAUGAAACUCUGGAAUUUUAUAUCUAUACGUGUUUAAAUGUGACCGUUCGUUCUUCAGCAUGGGCUGAUAAUAAGUAUAUCAACAGACAAGUGGCGGCAGUAUGAAGUUCAAAGUUUUUGAGCAGGGCUUGAACAGCAACUCAGAAGAAAAGGGCGAUGGAAAAGUACCUGGACAUAAUAAUAAGUUACCCCCACCUCCUCCAUCACCGCUUUCAUCUGUUUCUACAAUACUGAAGUCUCCAACGAACUCACCAAGAAGUUUGAGUCUUGAAAAUACUUGCGUGGAAAAGACCACUCCAACAAUCAGUGAAGACCAGGAUUGCCAGGGUUCUCCGAAAAAUCAAAUUGCAGUGGACGUACCAGAUGAUGACGACUUUGGCGACUUUCAAGCAGCUGGUUAGCCUUGUUUAGAAUAACGACCUGUUUAUAUGCUAGCACUCAUACGUUUCUCUCAUUCAAAGUUGCGGACUAACUACCACCAAAAAUGAUUUAGGGGGAAGUCUGGCUAUCGGAUUCAGAGACCAGCAAGACAGCCAAGAGACUUGAAAUGUGCUGAAGAUUACUCAAUACAUAUUUGAAUGAAUUUAUAAUGCCCCACGGUCCACGGAUGCCUAUUUCAUGCUCCUAUUCCAUGUUAUAGCCAUGGUCAAACGCGUGCUCUUUACCUCUUAUUAUUUUGCUUUUCGCUUUUUUUAAGAGGUCAGGUUAAGACCGGAAUCUUUCAGUAAAGGACUAAAAUACCAUCAAAGCUAGAAGUGAAUUGUUUCUAUUUACCAACUGCCCCAGAUUGCAAUUCAUUCCAUCAAGAAAGAUCACCAUACAUACAGUGAAAAUACUCCGAAAAAGAACUAAAUUCUUCUCACAUGACCAGUUUCCUGCGGAAUUUCCUCGCCACAGCUUUCGCUGCAGGUCAAAUUUGGGCGACUGAAU